rnacentral:lncRNA from 10 species
GAAUCUGAAGAAUCAGGCCUUACUAAGUGCCCUCCAGUGGAUGCUGUGGGGCACCACCUCCUUGAGGACCAAGGCACUCCAGCUGCCAGGAAUUUGGCUGCUAACCUCACACAGCUGAGCCUUCCAUGAAAAUUGCUCUCUGCCAAAGAGAACUUCCUAGUCCAAGGUCAUGUCUACUCUCCAGAGAUGUGACUGGAGUGAUUUGCACCCGGAUGCCUAGACUCGCCAUCUGCUCAAAGACUGCUCAGAAAGCCCUCCCAUGCAUUCCCCUGCUGCAUACCAGCCCACUCUGCCUGCAGCUGCUGUCUGCAGGACUUCAUAUCUAUGCCACACUGUGUAAAAGCUGUGCUUCAAGAAAUCACAAAAACAUUUUCCUGCACCUACUACACAGCCUGAGUGCGGCAUAAGUUGACCUUGCUUGCUAAGAAAUGGGGCAAGAAAUGCUUUUUUGUGUGUGUCAUGUCUGUUUGUUUUUCAAUUAAGAGAGGAAAGCAUUAGGCAGAUGGAAUGUACAUGUGAGGAUGAGGAGACAGAAAACAAGUAGCCCUUUCCAUCAAGAUAGAGGGUUUUCUGGGGUUGCUGGCUAUUGAAUGUCACUCCUGAUUUCUCUUUCCAAGGCACUGUACCACCAGCCUACUGAGAUUGUGUGGGAGCUUUCAU